UCUCACACACACACACACACACACACACACACACACACACACACUGUGAUAUGAUUUGUAUAUGAGCAUUGGAGCCGACGGUUCUACUGCCGGAAUGCCAGUGCGACAGGAAUGAGCUCGCUUCCCCUGAUAACAGAGACGAGAGAAACACCGCGAUGGCUUCAAAAGAACUCGCCGCCUUCUGUUUCGUCAACAUAAGUAGGGAAAUAACAGGUGGCCAUUUCCUUCAACAAGGACCAUUUCACAAUUCAGGAAUCCUGUUGUGAGUUUGUGCAAUUCAAGAAUAGCCUGGAUUACCCAUAUUAUGACUCCAUAUGGGUUGAUGGAGAUGUGUCAAUCAAAGGCAUAAGUAUCAGCUAAAGACCCACCAGGAGGAGCUAGACAUCCCCCUUCUGGCUCCUGAUUGGCUGCUCUGCUUCUGCUUCCUGGUGCCUUCCUACAGCUGUGCUACGAGUGCACUUUGUCCCAUUGCAUUUUUUUACAUUAAUGGCAUUUGACACUCUUAUCCAGGGCAACGUACAACAAAGUGCAAAGUGCAUACCCAUAACCAGGGUAUGCACUACAGCCAAAGCAACACAUACAAUAUACUAUAUAUAUAGAAACACACAGAAAAAUGUAAUACAUUUAGGUUGCAUUUUUUUAAAUGUUAUAUGAAUGAUUAUAGUCAAAAUGAAAUAUGAAUAAAUGUAAAAAACAAGCUUCACGGUUCCACUUGCAUUUCCGCACACAAUGUGAACAGCUGAGACCACGCCUAGUAAAGAACUGACAUCCGAAAA